CCUUAGAGCACAGAGAGCGAGGCGCUGCGAGGAGUUAUUUAAAGAAUUUCAGAUGGUUUACUGUCUGUGCAUUUAACAGCUUUAGAGAAGGAGAUGUGCUCCAGUGGCCGAGGAAGAAAUAAUUUCUGAGCAAGCCUUUCUGCAAGAUGACAAAAACUGACUCUGCUGUGCAUCAGCUUUCACAUCUCUGACUUUGGAGAAAAAAGGCUAGAAGGCAGGGUAUUAUGUGAGGGCCCAGCCAGUGAGCAGUGCCCCACAUGGCUGAGAAAAGCCAGACAGAGGAUAUCAAGGGGCGUGGUGUUGGAUGGGCGGUACUACUCCAGAGGAUCCUCAUAGGGAACUCCUCCCCUCCCAGGUGGCUCUGAUUGUCCCUCACAGGUGGAGUGAAUCAGCCAGGCAAUCAGGAGCCAUCUUAAAACCUCAAACAAAGGAGUGAGAGGGCCUGGAGCUUAAGAGGAGUGAGACCCAGAUGCUUUUGCCAGACCGUCUCAGGGAAGAGCCCGACGGAGCCCCAGAGGCCAACUGCCAACCGGGUGAAGUCUUCUGAGUUACCUUUGUGCGCCCUCCUCCCUUUUCCCCUCAAUUUAUGAAUAAACCUCCUAUGUUAUAUUCACCACAA